rnacentral:misc_RNA from 1 species
CGCACCUUGCACCCUUUGGUAUUCCGAAGGGUAUGCCUGUUUGAGUGUCAUUAAAUUCUCAAACUCAAUAUGGUUUUUAUUAAUCGUGUUGAAGUUUGGAUGUGGAGGUUGCAGGCUUUAACAAGUCGGCUCUUCUUAAAUGUAUUAGUGGCUUGUCGAUCCCCAUUUUUUGGUGUGAUAAAUAUUACAUUAUAAAUGGCUAGAUCAUGCGAUGACAAUGUUAGCUGCUCUCUAAUCGUCCUUGUGACAAUUUGAACCAUUUGGCCUCAAAUCAGGUAGGACUACCCGCUGAACUUAA